rnacentral:rRNA from 1 species
ACCCGCACAAGCAGCGGAGCGUGUGGUUUAAUUCGAGGCUACACGAAGAACCUUACCUGGGUUUGACAUGCUAGUGGUAGCGACGCGAAAGCCGAGCGACCUUCGGGAGCUAGCACAGGUGCUGCAUGGUUGUCGUCAGCUCGUGUCGUGAGAUGUUGGGUUAAGUCCCGCAACGAGCGCAACCCUUGUCAUUAGUUGCUACAUUCAGUUGGGCACUCUAAUGAGACUGCCGGUGACAAACCGGAGGAAGGUGGGGAUGACGUCAAGUCCUCAUGGCCCUUAUGGUAGGGCUUCACACGUCAUACAAUGGUCGGUACAGAGGGUUGCCAACCCGCGAGGGGGAGCUAAUCCCACAAAGCCGAUCGUAGUCCGGAUCGCAGUCUGCAACUCGACUGCGUGAAGUCGGAAUCGCUAGUAAUCGUGGAUCAGCAUGUCACGGUGAAUACGUUCCCGGGUCCUU